AUGGCCGUCUACGAGGUGAAGCUGGUGACCCUGGAAGGGCAGGAGCACGAUUUCGACACUGGACGACACCUGCAUCUUGGAUGCCGCGGAGACGCCAGCGUGGAGCUGCCCAACUCGUGCCACCUGGGGGCAUGCUCCACCUGCGCCGGCAAGAUCGAUUGCGGCACGGUGGACCAGUCGGACGGUUCGUUCCUGGACGACGCGCAGCAGGAGGAAGGCUACAUGCCGACCUGCGUGUCGUACCCCAAGUCGGACUGCGUCAUGCACACCCACAAGGAGGGCGACCUGUAUUAG
rnacentral:rRNA from 1 species